GACCUGGUGGCGAAAGGUAUCGCGCCCGCGUUCCUUAACAGGAAGGACAUCGGUUGCUCCGCGGGAAGUCCUGGUUCAAGUCCAGGUCAGGUCA